rnacentral:lncRNA from 1 species
AGAAUGUUGUGGGUUCUGAAUUUGCUCGUGUAAGCCAAGCGCAAACACUACUAUCAGUAACACUGUCAAAGCUGUACAAAAAAAGUCUGCAAACACCAGCCAUGAACGAUUUGUUUACAAUACCGCGUUCGUUAACCGGGCAUGUUCACUAGAUAACGUUAAAUUGCCGCUUAUUGUGACUCGCUUGUGGGCGUGCUGGCAGCAUUUUGACCGUGCGUCAAAAAUUCAGCAUAGCAAGUUUGUAUGAGGGUCUGAUUAUUAAAUGAGUAAUUCGAUCAAUAGUAAUAUCCUCUAAAACGCUCUGGUGACAAACUUUGCUACCCUGUUUCCAAUUGUUCACAUGGCUGGGAGAACCUAUUCAAUUAAUGUGUAGGGCACUGCAAGGUUGGGUGACCAGGGCCACUAGGGACUGCCUCCUGGAGGAAUUCAGGUGUGUGAAGGCUACCUGUGUCCUGCAUAACUUCAUGAGGAUGGACACACGGACCAGAGGAGAAGUCUGCUGCUCUGCAGGAUGUUUCAAGGAUGGGGUCCAACAACGCAGCAAGAGAGGCAAUCUGUGUGCCGGAGAUCUUCACCUCCUACUUCUACUAAGAGGGUGCUGUUCCCUGACAAUGCCAUAGACUACACUAUGCACAACCAAAGGCUCUUUUAAGAGCCAUUCACAUUGCAAUAAGAGUAUUCUUCCAUUUACUUAGCUAUGUCAACUGCAGUUAUUCAAUUCCCACUUUCUCUCCCUUUGAUUUCUACUUCAGGUGAGGGUGCUUUUUAGUAAGCAGGCUCAGGUGUAUAACUGGCUCCUUCCACCUUCAAAAAAUAGGCAAGGCCAACAAUGGAGAACAGUAAGACACUUCAUUAUUUCUAUAACUACGCUAUAUUGUUUGUCCUCGUGUGUCCGUUCAUGUUUUUCAGCAUAAAAUACUCUGUAGCCACUUAGUAUGAACACCAGGUGAGGCCACACGCACAAAUUCCUGUUGAACACUUGUCUCUUUAACUAUCUUAUUUUCUCAAUAAGUCUUUCUUCUUCACUUCAUCCCUCUUCUUCCUAAAUCCUCUAGGUUAUAUCAGCUGUGUAGGUGAACCCCUCCCGCAUCAGACCUGGCUACAUAGAGGGCACAGCAUGAUAUAUUUUGACAUGAGAGGAUGCAGACCCCCAGUUCCAUCAUCGCCACCUUACCCGCUCUUAAGAUAACCUUCUAGCCAACUACAAACACUACGUAAUUUUGAUGAACUGAGAGAACAUUUG